AAUAAAGAAAGAAAAUUGACCUAGUUAUCAAGUACCCUUCCCACAAGUACUCUUCCCUCGCCUUCUGCACUGCCACAAUCUCCUGGGUUUUCUCCUAAGGUUACCGGCUCCUCUUCUACCUCUCCAAGUAGAGGCGCUCUUGAGGGCUGUCCCGGGCCUUUCCCAAAUGGGUAUUGUCUCCACCAGGCAACCUCCUCUAUGCUCCUCCUCCAUUUUCAUCUCCCCGACACGAAUCUAGGUCACAAACUUUCAGCUCAGGCUUUCAUUUGGUGAUCCAAACAGGCACAUCCCACCAUCUGCUGCGCUUCUCCAUUAGAGGGUCCCAGAGACUGUACAGGUCUAAAACCGCACUAUUUCCCCAAAUCUGCUUCUCCUGUGUUCUCUUCCAUUAUGUCGUUCCGGAUCAUUCACCUAGCGUCAGCCCAGAAGCCUGGGAGUCAUCCAACUCCGCAUUUUCCACACACCCAUUCCACUGCCAUCUACCUUCCAACUCUCUCUCUCUCUCUAUCCCUCCCUCCUCUGUGCACCAUGCCGAGGCCCUAACCCAAGUAACCAAAGUCGGACAAGCCUCUGAAGAUGCCAAAGACCAGCUGUGCCCAGGUACUAAGUGCUUAGUUCUCCCAAGGCCUCCGCUUUGCUGUCCAACGCUAGCUUAGAACAGCUAGGGAGGGAAAGCGCCUGGUCCCGUUCACUGGCUCCUGGCCCAUCCACAGUGCCUGGCACCACCGAAGUCGGUAAAUACUCGUUAGAACAACAGAAGGACAGCCAAAAAGAGGGUUCACCCACUCUGUGGGUGCCGCUGGAGCUCAGAGCCUGAGAGGUGGAAUCCCCAUCCGCCACACACAACAUGGCGGCGACCUACGUCUGUGUCCCACUUCCGCUUCCGGUGCCGAAACGCCUCACUUCCUCUCCGGUUGCUCUGGAGCCCUUUGGAAGCUGAGAAUGCGAGGAGUGUCUGCUCCAUUCCCCUUCCAGAUGUUGGUUUCUGCUGCAGCGCAGUCUGACCGAGCGGCUUCGAGGCUCUGUCUCCAGGGGCUUGCUGACACCGUGGAAUCCCCCAGGUAGCUGAGAAACUCAUGGAAUCUUCUUACUGGUACAGCUUUCACUAUUGCUUGUGUUACGGUGUGAGGUAAAGGCUAGAAGACAUUUCUCAAGUGCACUGUUAACCUCUACAGCACACUGCACCUUGACUUCUGACAGUCAAGAGAGGCAGGUUCGCACAAUUGUGUGCAGCAUAGAAAGGACAGCUCAUCUGAUAACGGGAACGUAGCUUUUAUGCUAAUAAAAUGCUUUUUAAAUUAGUGUGUGGUUUUUAGUAA